AUCCAGAUGACGAGUACGAAAUAGGAUGAAACGCGCUUCCUGGAU
rnacentral:hammerhead_ribozyme from 1 species